UGGGACCAGUUUCUGGAACAUUCGGGACUGCGGCACCUUACGGCCAACCGAGAUUUGGGUCUGCGCAGGCGACGAUGGGUGGUCCGAUGGGCUUCAGGACUUGAUGGCGUAACCCCCGUCUUCCCCCACGUACCACAUCCAUCUGGUUCACGACGGUUAUUUCAUUUAUUUCUCACCGCAACCCUGCGAGGAGUGUCCCAUGGCCGGAACUUCGGCAUCAGGAAAACACCAUGGAAACGCCAUGAGCAUUGGUGGUGGCGGAGUGAGGGUUAAACAGUGAGCCUUCCUGGGAUCCUUUUGAUGCCAGGUUAGU